rnacentral:rRNA from 1 species
UGGGGAAUUUUGCGCAAUGGGGGAAACCCUGACGCAGCAACGCCGCGUGGAGGAUGAAGAUCUUCGGGUCGUAAACUCCUUUCGAUCGAGACGAAAUCUCCGGGGGUGAAUAGUCCCCGGGGUUGACGGUACCGAGAGAAGAAGCCCCGGCUAACUCCGUGCCAGCAGCCGCGGUAAUACGGGGGGGGCAAGCGUUGUUCGGAAUUACUGGGCGUAAAGGGCUCGUAGGCGGCCAACUAAGUCAGACGUGAAAUCCCUCGGCUUAACCGGGGAACGGCGUCUGAUACUGGAUGGCUUGAGUCCGGGAGAGGGAUGCGGAAUUCCAGGUGUAGCGGUGAAAUGCGUAGAUAUCUGGAGGAACACCGGUGGCGAAGGCGGCAUCCUGGACCGGCACUGACGCUGAGGAGCGAAAGCCAGGGGAGCAAGC